rnacentral:lncRNA from 1 species
GUUUGCCUUCUUCCUUAUUCUUUAGGCUCGCUAGGUAAACUGUGCAGUUUCAUUUCCAGUGGCCAUCCUUGUUGUAGUGGAAAUACUUUCAUUUCUCGAUAGCCUUCUUCUUUAAAACUUCUUUCUUUGAUUUGUUCUCUACCUUUUGCUUCUUUAUGGGUUUCUUCUUUCUCGUGAUUUUUUCUUAGAAGAAAUCUGCUCCAC